CGCUGUGAGGGAGGCUGCAUGACACAUAGCCGUCAUAAGUGGUAGUUGAGCUCGGAAGACGGAUCCAUUUCAGUCACGGGGGUGUUCAUGCGCAUAGCGCGUCUCAGAGCAGCACUUGUGCGCCAUGAACGAGCGGGAUAUCACCGCUUUCACACUCCUACCGGCGACCACCGAGCAGAAAGAUCCCAUACAUUACUCUCUGCAAAAAUUUUACUGCAGGAAUGGAGGAUACCAUCUCCGGAUCCAACCUAACGGGACUGUGGACGCGAGUCGACAAGAUAAUGACGUUUACAGUGAGUAUGCAGUCAUGCUGAAUGAUGAGUGUUGCUUCAUUGAGAAGAUAGAAAAAGAACGGACGGACCAAAAACAGCUCCAAAACACACAAGGGCCAAAAUGCAAUCUACUUCCUGCCGAUUCCAGUGGAUGGCAGCAUACAGUAACUUUUGUGCUGAUCAGAGGCCCUCAAAACAACCCGAGCACUAUAAAGAACUGCACAUUCCCAAGUAAAGGUGAACAAUGCGUAG